GUCAAGGUGCCGGAGUGGUUAACGGGUUCGCCUGCUACUUUCCUGUCUCGGAAACUUGUCAGCGGAUGUCUUCGGACGCGCAGGUUCGAAUCCUGUCCUUGACG